CCACGUGAGGUAUGAAUAACAUUAUAAUGCUGCCAUUUACUUGGUGAAAGAAAAAAGAAGUCUCCUAUUGCAACCAAAAGAUUAGGCCUUCUUCCUUGGGUUAAAUUUUUUGACCCGUGCUAUAUCCCAAGACACCUAUGUUACUGUUAUAUUUGGGUCUUCUACCUCUCGUGAAGUAAACACUGAGCAAAUGAACCUUGAAUCUAAGUAGCACUCAAAGAACCAAAAGAGCUUGUUCUAACCUAUCUCCCAAACAGGGUAGGCAAGACAAAAGGACUCUCCAAGCCUUCUACUUCCUCAGGAAGAUUGGCUUGGCUGAGGAUGACAAGUACAGACUGGUCCAGAUGAACCAGAUGAACUGACCAGACACGUCACUUGAGAUGGAUGAUCAAACCACUGUGUCACCUUGAUGAUGGGAUACAGGACAUGGUCAUGGGUAGCCAUUCAACUUUGCUCAACUACUUGGGCUCAAAUCCCAGGAAAACCUCCACGAUUGCCAUAGAAAUUCACCAUCUUCCAUAUCUUCAGUGUGAUUCCAAUGUACAGUGUUAUGUAUAUGGGCACAUUAUAUCCCAAUGAUUACAGGGACUGCCAGGUGACUGUCUUCUUUCCCUGUACAGUUUUCAAGCAGCUGAUCAGCAAUGGCUACAGUCAAAAUCUUGAUAAAGCAAAAAAAAUCAGCCCACCCUAAAGUUCAAUCUAUAUUGGAAGCCUACAGUUCUACAAAGCCCUUCAGGAGACCUUUAUAUAGUAGGGCUGUGUGAAGCUUUGGGUGCUGAUUUGAUUUGGAGGAGAUUCGGUCAGAUUCAUUGGCCGAAUCUCUGAAUCUGAAUUGAAUCAAGAGACCAGUUAAAAGGUCUGAAUCAAUUCAAAGCUCUACAAUUCGAUUCGUAAAAGCUUCAGAGAGCUCUGCAGAUUCAGUCAGUUCCUGCUGGCUGCCACUGGGAGCUGGACCCGGACUCUAUGCUGGCAAGUAGGAGGUGAGGGAGGGGGGCCUGGAAAGGGGGGAAGGGACCAUUUGGGGACCCCUGCUAGGCCUCAUCCCCUGCUUGCUCUCCCAGCCCCCCACCAUGGCUGCCCCGCCUGGCCCAAGCUCCCGGCUCUUUUUAAAAAAGCCCAUACUAACCAGCUGCUGCCAGGCAGGGGGGCAAUCCUCACUGCCCCACACUGCAUGGGGGGCUCUUCCAUGAGCCCCCAAACCUCUGCCCACUCUCCCAGCCCACUCCAUGGCUGACCCGCCUGGUCACAGCUCCCGGCUCUUUAAAAAAAAAAAAAAAAGAAAAGAAAAAAGUACCCACUUACUGGCUGCUACAGAGGCCUUGGGGCUUCUGGGGGCUUAUGACAGAGCCCCCCACAUAGCGUGGGGCAGUGGGGAUUGCGCUCCCUGCCUGGCAGGAGCCGGUGAGUGCAGGGCUUUUUUUUAUUUUUAAAGAACCAGGAGCUGGGGCAGGCACUGCAGCCAUGCGGGGAGUGGAGGCAUGGAGGGCAGCUGGGAGAGUGGGCAGAGGUCAAGAGGCUCAUAGCAGAGCCUCCCAUGCAGCAGGGAACAGUGAGGAUUGCCCCCCUGCCAGGCAGCACCACAUGAGUGGGGGCUUUUUUUUUUUCUUUUAAAGAGCUGGGAGCUGGAGCUAGGAG